UACGUAGGUGGCAAGCGUUGUCCGGAAUUAUUGGGCGUAAAGCGCGCGCAGGCGGUCUUCCAAGUCAGUGGUGAAAGCCCGGAGCUCAACUCCGGAACUGCCAUUGAAACUGUGAGACUGGAGUACGAGAGAGGUGAGUGGAAUUCCCAGUGUAGAGGUGAAAUUCGUAGAUAUUGGGAAGAACACCGGUGGCGAAGGCGGCUCACUGGCUCGUAACUGACGCUCAGGCGCGACAGCGUGGGGAUCAAACAGG
rnacentral:rRNA from 1 species